rnacentral:lncRNA from 1 species
UCCACCAGUCACCUGAUCCCCUCCACUGGAACCAGUCACCUGGUCCCCUCCACUGGAACCAGUCACCUGGUCCCCUCCACUGGAACCAGUCACCUGAUCCCCUCCACUGGAACCAGUCACCUGGUCCCCUCCACUGGAACCAGUCACCUGGUCCCCUCCACUGCUUGGGAACCAGUCACCUGGUCCCCUCCACUGCUUGGGAACCAGUCACCUGGUCCCCUCCACUGGAACCAGUCACCUGGUCCCCUCCACUGGAACCAGUCACCUGGUCCCCUCCACUGGAACCAGUCACCUGGUCCACUCCACUGGAACCAGUCACCUGGUCCCCUCCACUGGAACCAGUCACCUGGUCCACUCCACUGCUUGGAAACCAGUCACCUGGUCCCCUCCACUGGAACCAGUCACCUGGUCCACUCCACUGCUUGGAAACCAGUCACCUGGUCCCCUCCACUGCAACCAGUCACCUGGUCCCCUCCACUGCAACCAGUCACCUGGUCCCCUCCACUGCAACCAGUCACCUGGUCCCCUCCACUGGAACCAGUCACCUGGUCCCCUCCACUGGAACCAGUCACCAGUCACCUGGUCCCCUCCACUGGAACCAGUCACCUGGUCCCCUCCACUGGAACCAGUCACCUGGUCCCCUCCACUGGAACCAGUCACCUGGUCCCCUCCACUGGAACCAGUCACCUGGUCCCCUCCACUGGAACCAGUCACCUGGUCUACUCCACUGCUUGGAAACCAGUCACCUGGUCCCCUCCACUGGAACCAGUCACCUGGUCCACUCCACUGCUUGGGAACCAGUCACCUGGUCCAUUCCACUGGAACCAGUCACCUGGUCCACUCCACUGCUUGGGAACCAGUCCAGACCUGUCUGAAUGGAUCUGUAUGUCUGCGUUUUUGUUUUUAUUUGAUUUUAAUGUUAAUCCAAUUUUUUUUUUGUAUUUUGGCUGGUUUGUUUUAUGUUCUGGAAUUUGCAGAGGCCUUAGUCUUUACACUCUAAACCUUUAG